CCUACGGGAGGCAGCAGUGAGGAAUAUUGGUCAAUGGCCGGAAGGCUGAACCAGCCAAGCCGCGUGAGGGAGGAAGGCGCAGAGCGUCGCAGACCUCUUUUGCCGGGGGACAAAAGGCCGGACUCGUCCGGUCCUGAGGGUACCCGGAGAAAAAGCAUCGGCUAACGCCGUGCCAGCAGCCGCGGUAAGACGGAGGAGGCGAGCGUUAUCCGGAUUUAUUGGGUGUAAAGGGAGCGUAGGUGGCUUGUUAAGUCAGUUGUGAAAGUUUGCGGCUCAACCGUCAAAUUGCCGUUGCAACUGGCAGUCUUGAGUACAGUAGAGUUGGGCGGACUUCGUUUUGUAGCGGUGCACUGCUUAGCUCUCAC
rnacentral:rRNA from 1 species